rnacentral:rRNA from 1 species
AGCGAACGCUGGCGGCAGGCUUAACACAUGCAAGUCGAGCGGGCACUUUCGGGUGUCAGCGGCGGACGGGUGAGUAACGCGUGGGAACGUGCCUUCUGGUUCGGAAUAACUCAGGGAAACUUGAGCUAAUACCGGAUACGCCCUUUUGGGGAAAGGUUUACUGCCGGAAGAUCGGCCCGCGUCUGAUUAGCUAGUUGGUGGGGUAACGGCCUACCAAGGCGACGAUCAGUAGCUGGUCUGAGAGGAUGAUCAGCCACACUGGGACUGAGACACGGCCCAGACUCCUACGGGAGGCAGCAGUGGGGAAUAUUGGACAAUGGGGGCAACCCUGAUCCAGCCAUGCCGCGUGAGUGAUGAAGGCCUUAGGGUUGUAAAGCUCUUUUAUCCGGGACGAUAAUGACGGUACCGGAGGAAUAAGCCCCGGCUAACUUCGUGCCAGCCGCCGCGGUAA